AAAGGACAACAUACUGGGAACAUAAUGGGACUAUGCUAAGAGGACCCAAGGAGCUGCUGGUCUGACUUGCUCUUGGACAGAGUUGCAUUUGGCUUUAUACUCAAGCAGAUGUCCCAAUAAAAGCCUUGCCUGUAUUCAUCUGGACCCAGUCUUGUUUCUAGCAUGUAUGGAUCCAAGAGUCUGGAUCCAGUAGCCAAUAGUACCUAUACUGAUUCCUCAUAGCAGUCUUUAGGGGGUCAAUGAACAAUUUGUGAAAGAUCUAUGAACACUACAAGGUACAUUAAAAUUAAAAGUGUUUGUUAGUAUGGAUAAAAUAUUUAUUUGUCUUUGUAUGGUAGCAUUUAAAUUUCGUGGCAUUAGAGAUUAAAUCCAAGGCCCCACACAUGCAAGGCAAAUGCUAAUUUUACUGUAUUUUAUUUUUAUUGCAUGAAUUGUUAGUUCCUUCUCUCUAGCUUCUUGGGUUCCCAUCCCUCCACUACCCAGGUUACAAGUAUAACUGAACAUCAGCAUAUAGGCCACACCCAUUCUUACUCAGAGGAUUUAGACAGGUCCAGGUCCAUGUGGAUAUGGCAAGCUCUGGGCAUAGGGGAGAGAUGGGCCCUCCAGGAAGCUAUUCAUGGCGAGCAGAGAGACCUGCGUCAGGGCAUAUGAUCGAUACAGGUGGUGUUGUUUUACAUCCCUUAUCUCCCAAGAACCAAGACUAAGG
rnacentral:lncRNA from 1 species